AUGACCAACUUUUACACGAAUUUUCAAGUGGAUGAGAUCGGUCGAGUGGUCUCAGUUGGAGAUGGGAUUGCACCUGUUUAUGGAUUGAACGAGAUUCAAGCAGGAGAAAUGGUGGAAUUUGCCAACGGUGUGAAAGGAAUCGCCUUAAAUCUUGAGAAUGAGAAUGUAGGUAUUGUUGUCUUUGGUAGUGAUACCGCUAUUAAAGAAGGAGAUCUUGUCAAGCGCACUGGAUCUAUUGUGGAUGUUCCUGCGGGAAAGGCCAUGUUAGGCCGUGUGGUCGACGCCUUGGGAGUACCUAUUGAUGGAAAAGGGGCUCUAAGCGAUCACGAACGAAGACGUGUCGAAGUGAAAGCCCCAUGGAUUAUUGAAUGUAAAUCUGUGCACGAACCCAUGCAAACAGGCUUAAAAGCAGUGGAUAGCCUGGUUCCUAUAGGCCGUGGUCAAUGA
rnacentral:rRNA from 1 species